UUUUCUUCCACUAUUUUGCUCUUAUGGGUUUCUCAUUCUUCAACGCUUCAGGUUUCUCAGUCCGUUCAUAUCUUCCGCUACCUUUUACUUCCCCCUUAACCUAGCAGCGCCGUUGCUCACAUGAGAGAGAUUUGAACUCUACGAUCUGGGGUGGUGCCCCGUGGUGACCUGAGGCCAAGCUCCUUCACAACCUGAGAUGGAUCCUUCUGCAAAGCGAUUCAAACCACGGAGGUUGCAGGGUAUGGUGAGAGGAACACACAGAGGCUGGGAGCUCUGAUCUUCAAUCCUAUUUGCAGCAGGGCGCAGGCUGCGAUCCUCAAUCUUCAAUCCAGUCCAUUUUGUUCGUGCUUUGAGUAGAAGGGGAUGCUGCCUUCAAAUAUCAAAGAAACAUCCAAAGAAUCAAGGCGCAGAGAUGUGAGCAUUUCCUAUAUACAUGUGUGUGUUCCCCCUUUGCUAUUGCAGAAUUCUGGGCGUAUGGGAUCCAGGUAAGCACUACUCCUAACAGAAUUAUUAAUUUCAUGUAAAUGUUCCAUAUAAAUUUGAUAAAUGAUAACAAGGUGUUAUUUACAUAUGCAUACCCCUGUGUCAUGUGGUUAGCAAUCAGGCCAACACUCUUGGAAUGAUUUUGUGUUUUUACAGUUGAGUUUUUUAUUUGAGUUUUUAGUUUUUUUCUUUUUUUUAUAAUUUUGGACAUGAGAAAGUUAGGGUCUGUGGCUAAGUUGUGUUACAUUGCAUCUUGAUGUUCAUUCGAGAGAACUGGUGAAGGGGCAGGGGCUUAGUGAGCGUGGGGAAAUUAUUCUCUUCUAUAAGGCUGAACCUAAAACAGAUGAAGUAUAUGAUCAGACAACUUUGCUUCCUGAAGCAGAUGUGAGUGUGCUCUGACUUCUGCCAUUGGAUUGAUUGGCACAUCGAUUGAGGAACUACACCCGAGAGCUAAGAAUCAGAGUAAAAGAAUAUUGUUUCUGCAACCACAACUUUUCUUUUUGCAGAUAUUAUGUCUGCAAUUGAUCUCAUCCCUUUGUUGCUUCAAUAUUCUAUAAAUGCUUCUCCUGGAUGUUCCCGGUUGCAUUGUUUUGGAUUCUCUUUGAUUCUACAUGCUUGGAUGAUCAAGUAGCCAAUUAAGUGUGAUUCAAGUGUAUCAUCUUAUCCGAACUAAAGGCAGAUGUUCUCAGGAACGAAAAAAGUAGGAGUAACGAAGAAGAUAAAUGAGAAUGUAUAUGAGAAUUCUUACUGAAUGUACAAGUUGUUGCAUUGUUGUCUCCCACCAAGGAUUAUGUGAGCAGAGAGAGAAGGCUGGGACAGAAAAAUGCUAAAAUGAGUUAUUUUAGAUUGCAAGAACGUCAAUCUUUCCAGAACAAGAAAGUAAAGUUCUCAGCCAGCAGAGGCAGCGUCAAAGUGAAGGACAAGAAAGUAGUGGACAGAAAGAUUCAUAUGCUAAUCAACCUCUGAUCAAUUGUAUCAAGUGAAAUUCAUUUAGAAACUGUACAGGUUAUUGUUGUUGAUUCUCAAGAGGAUGAUAGUACGGAUAAUUGAAGCGCAUAAGCUUUGUUGAGUUCAACACUACAGGUUUUGGUUAAAAUCUGAUGGCUAGAAUGGUAUAUGUGGAGGGAGAAGGGUUAUGGAAAAAUUGUCAAGGCAUGGCACUGCCCAUUAAGGUUAUCCAAAGGCCUAAGUCACUUGAUUUAGGAGUGCAAUUCUCUUGCAGCCCUCAUGAGCCAGCCACUGAGGGAGCUGUGAUCAAGUCUUCAAGAAUUGGUGCUUUGGAAAACAUACCAAAGAAUUUGGAUCAAAGAUGAUGGCUAAGACAGUAGGUAGAGAAUCAUAAUGUAAUUACACCAUUGAGUGUUGUUAGGCUACCGAAGUCAUGACUCAUGAGGACUAGGCUCCAAAAGUUAAUUUAGAUUUCUUUGUUUUUUGCUCCUUUCUAAUUGUAUAUUGGCCUAAGAUUAUGAUUCACCUUUGUAGUUUAGCUUUAGCACGCAUUUUCUAACAAUGGAAUUCACUAUGUUAAAAUGUUA